AUGGCGGAAGAGUACUUCCAGAGAAGAUGCCACAUCUACCUAUGAGACAGAUAAGGCAAGUGAAGACGAUACCACACUUCGGUACUUAGAAGUUUCGUGAUUACAAGAUCAUUCUCCCACAAUAUUUCCUAAUGUCAUUUGUACUAAAUCAUUCACUUGAAAUCACUAAAGGAGAGCUUGAACCUAUGUACUUGUGUAAACCUUUCACAAUUAAUGAGAACUCAUCUACUCCGUGGACGUAGCCAAUCUGGGUGAAUCACGUACAUCUUUUGUUUGCUUUCCUGUCUCUAUCCAUUUACAUACUUAUCCACACUAAUGACCGGAGCAAUCUAGUGAAGAUCACAAACUUAAUACUUUCUGUUGUACCAAAGUCCUCACUGAUUUUGUGCAUCAACAAUCCUUAAGUCCUCACCUUUUUGCGUUGGUAAUGGAUGAGUUAACAGGACAUAUUCAAGAUGAUAUUCCUUGGUGUAUGCUUUUCGCAAACGAUAUAGUAUUGAUAGAUGAAACUUAGGAAGGGGUAAAUACGAAGCUUAACCUUUGGAGAGAAGUGUUGGAAUCUAAAGGUCUUCGCCUAAGCAGAUCAAAGACAGAAUUUAUAGAGUGCAAGUUUAGUGCAAAUGGAGGCCAAAAUGAGUUAGGGGUGAGGAUAGGAGAUCAGGAAAUGCCAGGGGUGAGGAUAGGAGAUCAGGAAAUGCCAAAAAGCGACCUAUUUUGCUACCGAGGAUCUAUCUUGCAAAAGAACGGAGAAUUAGAUGGAGAUCUCAACCAUAGAAUACAAGCUGGAUGGAUGAAGUAGAGGAGUGAAUCCGGCGUGUUGUGUGACCGUCGUAGGCCACUGAAGCUCAGGGGAAAAUUUUAUAGGACGACAAUACGACUGGCGAUGCUGCAUGACAUAGAAUGUUGGGCGGUGAAGCAUCAACACGUACACAAAAUGGAUGUAGCGGAAAUGAGGAUGCUUCGUUGGAUGUGUGGGCACACGAGAAAGGAUAAGAUUAGGAAUGAGGAUAUCCGAGGUAAAGUAGGAGUAGCCGAAAUUGAAGGAAAGAUGAGAGAAAAUCGGUUACGGUGGUUUGGCCAUGUGCAAAGAAGGCCUACUGACGUUCCGGUUCGAAGAUGUGACUACGGGAUAGAGGUUCAGGGCCAAAGGGGUAGAGGAAGGCCUAGGAAAACUUUGGAAGAGACCCUAAGAAAGGACUUAGAGUACUUGGAUCUAACGAAGGACAUGACACAAAACUGAGCGCAAUGGUGUUCUAGGAUUCAUAUAGCCGACCCCACUUAGUAGGAAAAAGCUUUGUUGUUGUUUGUUGUUGUUGUUAUAUCCAACAACUCUCCACUCAAACCCCAUUAAUCUCCAGUCAGAUCCAAGUUUAAAAUCACCAACUGUUAAUCUUGUUGGUCUGACUGAUAGUGCUCUGACCCAUGCUAAGCAGGGUAC
rnacentral:lncRNA from 1 species